rnacentral:rRNA from 1 species
CCCUUAGAGUUUGAUCCUGGCUCAGAACGAACGCUGGCGGCAUGCCUAACACAUGCAAGUCGAACGAAGUCUUCGGACUUAGUGGCGCACGGGUGCGUAACGCGUGGGAAUCUGCCCUUGGGUACGGAAUAACUCAGAGAAAUUUGUGCUAAUACCGUAUAAUGUCUUCGGACCAAAGAUUUAUCGCCCAAGGAUGAGCCCGCGUAAGAUUAGCUAGUUGGUGGGGUAAAAGCCUACCAAGGCGACGAUCUUUAGCUGGUCUGAGAGGAUGAUCAGCCACACUGGGACUGAGACACGGCCCAGACUCCUACGGGAGGCAGCAGUGGGGAAUAUUGGACAAUGGGCGAAAGCCUGAUCCAGCAAUGCCGCGUGAGUGAUGAAGGCCUUAGGGUUGUAAAGCUCUUUUACCCGGGAUGAUAAUGACAGUACCGGGAGAAUAAGCUCCGGCUAACUCCGUGCCAGCAGCCGCGGUAACACGGAGGGAGCUAGCGUUGUUCGGAAUUACUGGGCGUAAAGCGCGCGUAGGCGGUUUUUUAAGUCAGAGGUGAAAGCCCAGUGCUCAACACUGGAACUGCCUUUGAAACUGGAAACCUUGAAUCUUGGAGAGGUCAGUGGAAUUCCGAGUGUAGAGGUGAAAUUCGUAGAUAUUCGGAAGAACACCAGUGGCGAAGGCGACUGACUGGACAAGUAUUGACGCUGAGUGCGAAAGCGUGGGGAGCAAACAGAUUAGAUACCCUGGUAGUCCACGCCGUAACGAUGAUACUAGCUGUCCGGUUCAUAGAAACUUGGGUGGCGCAGCUACGC